UACAGAGGAUGCAAGCGUUAUCCGGAAUGAUUGGGCGUAAAGCGUCUGUAGGUGGCUUUUCAAGUCCGCCGUCAAAUCCCAGGGCUCAACCCUGGACAGGCGGUGGAAACUACCAAGCUGGAGUACGGUAGGGGCAGAGGGAAUUUCCGGUGGAGCGGUGAAAUGCGUGGAUCUCGGGAGGAACACCAAUGGCGAAGGCAGCUUCUUGGCUCAUUCCUGACGUUGAGGCACGAAAGCGUGGGGAGCAAACAGG
rnacentral:rRNA from 1 species